AGAACUUAGAGCUAAUACGCAAAGUCGGGGAUCAUAAAAACAACCGAAACAACUUAGCGCUAAUACAGAAAGUCGGGGAUCAUAAAAACGGACCGAAAGAACUUAGAGCUAAUACGCAAAGUCGUGGAUCAUAAAAACGACCGAAAGAACUUGGAGCUCAUAUGUCAAGUCGGGGAUCAUAAAAAUGACAGAAAGAAAUUCGAUCGAAUACGCAAAGUCAAGGAUCAUAAAAACGGACCAAAAGAACUUAGACCUAAUACGCAAAGUCGGGGAUCGUAAAACCGACCGAAAGAAAUUAGAGCUAAUACGAAAAGUCGGGGAUCAUAAGAACGGACCGAAAGAACUUAUAGCUAAUACGAAAAGUCGAGGAUCAUAAAAA
rnacentral:lncRNA from 1 species